GUUUCCCCUAGAGUUUCCUUGAACACUUCAUUAAGGGCUCUUUUAUUAUAUCAGAAAAGUUGGUCCAUACUGAAGUGUUUGGGGGAACUCCUGGUGGCAC